rnacentral:lncRNA from 1 species
UCUCUCUCUCUCUCUCUCUCUCUCUCUGUAUACACUAAGAUUGUACUGCUGUACUGACCCAUUGUUACUGGACACGGUUUAUUGAACUUACAAUAGCAGACUGGGUCUAUACCCAGAGGAGUACUUGGAAGGGUUUCCAGUGAGGACAUCUGUCUUAGCUAGAUUGGAGGUGCAACUCUAACCAACAGUAAGUCAAACUGUGGAUGGCCAACAGCCAAAGGGCAGUUUAUAUUGAAAAAACACCUACAGUUCCUCCCAGUUCCUUCAUGCAAAUGAGAGAUUUAAACUGCAACACAAUGUUCCUUCUUGACUAGCCAAUGCCAAAAUGGGCACAGUGGCUCAUGCUGUAAUCCUACCUACUACAGAGGCUGAAACAGAAGGAUGACAAAUUCAAACAUGUUUGGCUAGAUAAAGGCUGAUCCAAAGUUCAGAAUGCAAAAUUGA